UACGGGGGGGGCAAGCGUUGUUCGGAAUUACUGGGCGUAAAGGGCUCGUAGGCGGCCAACUAAGUCAGACGUGAAAUCCCUCGGCUUAACCGGGGAACUGCGUCGGAUACUGUCGGGCUCGAGUCCGGAAGAGGCGAGUGGAAUUCCUGGCGUAGCGGUGAAAUGCGCAGAUAUCAGGAGGAACACCGAUGGCGAAGGCAGCUCGCUGGGACGGUACUGACGCUGAGACGCGAAAGCGUGGGGAGCAAACAGG
rnacentral:rRNA from 1 species